AGAGAUGUAGCUCAAUGGUGGAGCACUUACUUGCCUUGCACAGGCAAGCACCCGGGUUCAAUCCCCAGUGCCUCUG
rnacentral:tRNA from 1 species